rnacentral:sRNA from 1 species
AGGGGGUACAGAAAUGGGGGUGCCCUAGGAGAGGGAGUACAGAAAUGGGGGUGCCCAGGGGAGGGGGUACAGAAAUGGGGGUGCCUGGGGAGGGGGUAAAGAAAUGAAGUACCAAGGGAGGGGGCAGGGCUGGGGGUACCCAAGGGAGGGGGCAGGGCUGGGGGUGCCAGGAGAGAGGGUGUCCGAGGGCCAGGGUCCCAGGGUGAAGCACAGUGGGGGUCACCCUCCAGAGGCCUUCUGCCCUGGGUGACAGCCCUGCCGGGCGCCUGUUCUGUGAACAGUACGUCCACAUAUUCCUGAAUGAGGUGGUGGCGCUGGUCCCAGUGCUGAACGAGACCAAGCACUCCUUUGCCCUGUACACCCCUGAGCGGACACGGCAGAGGUGGCCGGUGCGUCUGGCUGCUGCCACCGAGCAGGACAUGAAUGACUGGCUCGCCCUGCUCAGCCUGUCUUGCUGCGAGAGCCGGAAGGUGCAGGGCCGCCCGUCCCCGCAGGCCAUCUGGUCCAUCACCUGCAAGGGGGACAUCUUCGUGAGCGAGCCCAGCCCGGACCUGGAAGCCUACGAGCACCCCCUGCCCUGCGACCAGAUGUUUUGGCGGCAGAUGGGAGGCCACCUGCGGAUGGUGGAGGCCAACAGCCGGGGCGUGGUGUGGGGCAUCGGCUAUGACCACACGGCCUGGGUAUACACAGGCGGCUAUGGAGGCGGCUGCUU